GGGCGGCGCCCAGGCGGGAGGGGUCCGCGUGUGUCCGCCCCGCUGGAGCGGGAGCCUCGGUCCUCCGAGGCCGGCGGGUUGCCGCGGUGCCGGAGGCUCCUCCCUGAUUCUGCCCUCUCCGUAGGUGACUCUGGGUGAAAUUGGGGCUCGUUUCAGGAGCGCGGGCCUGAGGGGUCUGGAGGAGAGGCCGGGAGGCCAGGUGGAGGCUGUUAGAGAAGCCAAGGCAAGAGAUGAGGGACACUAACCCGGGGCGCAAAUCUCCGGAAAGAUGGGCCCGGGAUAGACUCAGGAUGUGGAAUAGGCAGCGGUGGGGACCGCUGGACGCGGGGCACGAGGGAGGGGGCGACGGGACAGGAAGGAACACGGCGGGGUGGGAGGCCGGGCUGAGUGUUGGCCGUGCCCAGCUGUCUGCGACAGUCAGAUGAAACGCCUUGUGAUCGCGUAUCCUCUCUACCCAAACACGAGUCAGUUGUGAAAGCGGUGAGGGCAGAGAUUCAGAUUCUUGAAUUCCAGUGAAGCCAUCCACCAUCUCUUGCCUUUUUGGCAAAAAAACAGUUUCUACAUUUAAUUGAGCCCUGACAUGUGCCAGGCACCAUUCCAAGCACCUUUCGUGUAUUCAGUAGUUUAAUCUUGAUAACACCAGUAUCAAGUGGGUACCUUUAGCUCCACUUCAUGCAUGAGGAAAGGCACAGAGACGGUCAGCAUCUUGCCAAGUUCGCGCCAGGGGUAAUGGGGCCAGAAUUUGAAUUCAGGAAUGCUUUGCCAAGAAGCUGAAUUUUAAGUGAGUUUUUGUAGACUUUCUCAAUUUUAUCGCAUGUUGGUGCCCAGAAGAAAUUGUCUUUCCCAGCUCUGCAAGUUUCUACAUUUCUGGAUUCUUUAAUUCCUUUCAUUCUUGCCUGCAAACCAAGCUCAUUUCUGGCCAAAUGCAGCCAGCAACAAAGGACACCUAAAUUUAAGAAGCAAAUAGAUAUGCAAGAACUCAAGGCCAGUCAAAAGAGGAGGAAAGGAAAGAGACUAACGAAAGAAUGUCAGAGUACAUCGUGCAACUGAGAGGAAAUCUGAAGUGUCUACUGUACACAAGUCAGGAGACACUGAUGAAUUCAGGAGAGAAAUUUCACUAGAGCAUGGGCGAGGGGGAAGGGAGUGCAGAGCCGAGGAAGGAACAGGACAAGGAAUAGUGGGGAAUGUAGUCAACUCUUCAAAAGGCUGAGAAAGGAAGGAGGUCAGAGGGGUACAAGAUGAAGGGAAAUAUUUUAGUAAGACUGAACAUGUUCACAGGCUGAAGGAAGGCAGCUAACCAGGAAGCUGAAGAUAAGAGAGAAAAAAGUGCUAGUCCUGGAGGCAGUGAGAAGGCCUGAGGUUAAGAGCAAAGGUGGGAACAGUGCAGGGGGGGAGGGGUUGAAAAGUAGGGGCGAGUUUCAUUUUCUAAAUCUAUAUGGAAGGCUAUAAGGAUGGGAGCUGGAGGGGCCCAGGGACAACUGACCAGGUGACUCACCUCAAGCACUCCUUGGACCCACAUGUAGCAGUUAGCGGGUUUAUUUCCAGGCAGAUACAGUCAGAGACAAGAUGACGCCCCACACGGCUGGUGGUGCCCACACACAGAGGACCAGUGCUGAGGCAGCAGUUCAGCCUCCUCUACUCUCACUAAAAGCAGCGUAUGGUGCGACAUGGAGCAGCAGCCACGGCUCCUCCAAGUGCGCUGGGCAGACAGACGCAACAGAUGCCCUAACAGCAUGUCUUAGUCGCGAAAGAAGUGCCCAAUAAAGACUAAAUAUUUGAGGAAUGCCAUCUCCAUGAAAGUGAGAUAGUGCCUGCGACAAACAGAACUCAGAACUAAGGGGGAAAAGUGAGAGAGCUAUUGGAGUAAGUCUUCAAUAGAGUGGCUGCUCUGCAUACCACCACAGACACGAGCUGAUGAAGUCUUCUGACACCGCCAUCCGCCUCUUCAAGCGAAGCAGGCGGCCUCCCCGCACCUAGUUCCCUUUCCCUUCUCCACUUUGAAGUAUCACCGUCUUGAGGGCCAAACGGCAUGAUUUUUUACUUCAGCAUCAAAUAUGACUUACAAAGAUGCUUUUGUAUCAUCUCCUUUCUGCUCCAAGAACCUCUCCUGGCCGGUCUUCACGGGCAGGAUCAAGAUGAUAUGAAUGCUGGAUAUUCCGUUACUGCCCCCACGGUGACCAGUCUGGCCAGGCACGCGGCAAGCACACUGGAUGCCACCUGCAUCUGCUUCUCCGUCGAGAGCCUGGUGCUCACCAGGAACACAGGGCUUCUCUUCCCAGACGCCGACUCGAGGCUGAAACCUCUGAGGACGAGGCUCUUUCACAGCGCUGCGCCCAGCUUCUGGCUCCCAACGUCCUCCUGGUGAGGGGAGGCAGGCAUGUGGGUGAACAGGGCUGCCGAGGUGGGAACAUAUUUUCAAAGAGAGCUGUCUGACAACGAGUGGUUUAAGAGACCAAAUCAUCCUUCCUGCAAGCACCAGGCAGCGCACGGGAAGCAGCAGUUGUGGGGGAGUGGGCUGACACUGAGGUGCCAAAAACCCAACACAGACAAGUGUGUCCUGCCCGGCCGGGGAGACCUGACAGGCCUCACACAGGGGUCUGAGCAGGGAAAGGACAUUCCUGGAUGUGAACUAUGGGGAGAGCAGGUGAGGAGCCAGGCCGCACAAGCUCGCAGUCUCUCCUGCGGCUGCCCUGCCCAGCACCUGUCCCGGCCUGCGGGGCACGGGGCCUGGCCGGAGUCUCUCCCCCAGCACUGGGGACCCUUGGGACACGGACUGUUUCUUCCAACCAGCCACAAGAUUUUAAAAAACAAAAAACCACAGUGAAUUUACCGGAAGAAUUCCAGCCCAGUGAAUUUGGCAAUGAAAAUGAAGCCUAAAAUGGGAUUUUAAGAGGUUAUGUUAGUUCUUUAUACAGUUUAACAUGAAUAAACAGACAUUCUUAACAAUGCAA